GUGUGCGUGGAAUGCUCUGGAGAAGAACAAAGGGGUGUAAACCCUAGUUCUUAAAGAAGCUCCAAAUUGAAGGUUGAAUCGAGGCUCAAAUCUAUUAAGGAACAUGAAUUAGUGAUCACCUAGACAAGGGGAUCGUGAGGAAUCAAGUCGAGACGGGCUCAAGCACGAGGUGUUAACGGCCAAGAGGAAGCAAGGGAUCGGAUAUGAACACGGAUGCAUGAGGAACGAGUACAUCGGAUUCUUACGAAAUUUAAGCCCAACCCGGAAUAAGAGGAUGAGUGAUACACGGACUUCUUCUGCUACUUAGGAAGUGAAGCGGACGUAGAUCGAGUCAAGAGCAAGGAUUGCACGGAUAGAUCGAUCAUAUAGUUGAAAUAUAUAACGUCUAGAAAUGUAAA